UACGGGGGGGGGCAAGCGUUGUUCGGAAUUACUGGGCGUAAAGGGCUCGUAGGUGGCCAACUAAGUCAGACGUGAAAUCCCUCAGCUUAACUGGGGAACUGCGUCUGAUACCGGAUGGCUUGAGUUUGGGAGAGGGAUGCGGAAUUCCAGGUGUAGCGGUGAAAUGCGUAGAUAUCUGGAGGAACACCGGUGGCGAAGGCGGCAUCCUGGACCAACACUGACACUGAUGAGCGAAAGCCAGGGGAGCAAACGGG
rnacentral:rRNA from 1 species